rnacentral:sRNA from 1 species
UGGAAACGAAUCCGGCAAAUUCACACACGUGUCGACACGUUAUCCCAGGGUGCCUGCUUCUGGUUUCAAGGAGUCAGGUUGGGAUGAUCGGACACGUGGAGGACUAACC